rnacentral:rRNA from 1 species
CCAAUAGCGUAUAUUAAAGUUGUUGCAGUUAAAAAGCUCGUAGUUGAAUUUCGGGAUCAAUUCUUCGGUCGUGCUUUUUGGUACGUACUGGGGUUAUUGGUUUCUCCCUUCUGACGAACCAUGAUGUCAUUAAUUUGGUGUUAUGGGGAGUUAGGACUGUUACUUUGAAAAAAUUAGAGUGUUUAAAGCAGGCAUUAGCUUGAAUACAUUAGCAUGGAAUAAUGAAAUAGGACGUUCGAUCCUAUUUUGUUGGUUUCUAGGAUCAACGUAAUGAUUAAUAGGGAUAGUUGGGGGCAUUAGUAUUCAAUUGUCAGAGGUGAAAUUCUUGGAUUUAUUGAAGACUAACUACUGCGAAAGCAUUUGCCAAGGAUGUUUUCAUUAAUCAAGAACGAAAGUUAGGGGAUCGAAGACGAUCAGAUACCGUCGUAGUCUUAACCAUAAACUAUGCCGACUAGGGAUCGGAUGAUGUUAAUUUUUUAAUGACUCAUUCGGCGCCUUACG